rnacentral:rRNA from 1 species
AUUGAACGCUGGCGGCAGGCCUAACACAUGCAAGUCGAGCGGAUGCAGGGAGCUUGCUCCUGGAUUCAGCGGCGGACGGGUGAGUAAUGCCUAGGAAUCUGCCUGGUAGUGGGGGAUAACGUCCGGAAACGGGCGCUAAUACCGCAUACGUCCUGAGGGAGAAAGUGGGGGAUCUUCGGACCUCACGCUAUCAGAUGAGCCUAGGUCGGAUUAGCUAGUUGGUGGGGUAACGGCCUAGCAAGGCGACGAUCCGUAACUGGUCUGAGAGGAUGGUCAGUUACCUGGGAAGAGAGACACGUGAGAGACACUGGCGGGAGGCAACAGUGGGGAAUACUGGACGAUGGGGGAGAGGCUAAUCUAGCAAUACCGCGUGUGUGAAGAAGGACUUCGGAUUCUAGAGUACUUAAAGUUUGGAGGAUGUGAAGUACGUUAACACCGUACGGUAAUGACGGUACCAACAGAAUAAGCACCGGCUAACUUCGUG